UACGUAGGUGGCAAGCGUUGUCCGGAUUUACUGGGUGUAAAGGGCGUGUAGCCGGGCUGACAAGUCAGAUGUGAAAUCCGGGGGCUCAACCCCCGAACUGCAUUUGAAACUGUUGGUCUUGAGUAUCGGAGAGGCAGGCGGAAUUCCUAGUGUAGCGGUGAAAUGCGUAGAUAUUAGGAGGAACACCAGUGGCGAAGUCGGCCUGCUGGACGACAACUGACGGUGAGGCGCGAAAGCGUGGGGAGCAAACAGG
rnacentral:rRNA from 1 species